GACGAACGCUGGCGGCGUGCUUAACACAUGCAAGUCGAACGGAAAGGCCCUGCUUUUGUGGGGUGCUCGAGUGGCGAACGGGUGAGUAACACGUGAGUAACCUGCCCUUGACUUUGGGAUAACUUCAGGAAACUGGGGCUAAUACCGGAUAGGAGCGCCUGCUGCAUGGUGGGGGUUGGAAGGUUUCGGCGGUUGGGGAUGGACUCGCGGCUUAUCAGCUUGUUGGUGGGGUAGUGGCUUACCAAGGCUUUGACGGGUAGCCGGCCUGAGAGGGUGACCGGCCACAUUGGGACAGAGAUACGGCCGAGACUACUACGGGAGGCAGCAGUGGGGACUAUUGCAUGAUGGGCGCAAGUAUGAUGCAGCAACGCCGCGUGCUGGAUGACGGCCUUCGGGUUGUAAACCGCUUUCGCCUGUGACGAAGCGUGAGUGACGGUAAUGGGUAAAGAAGCACCGGCUAACUCCGUG
rnacentral:rRNA from 1 species